AUACGGAGGAUCCGAGCGUUAUCCGGAUUUAUUGGGUUUAAAGGGUGCGUAGGCGGCCUUUUAAGUCAGCGGUGAAAGUCUGUGGCUCAACCAUAGAAUUGCCGUUGAAACUGGGGGGCUUGAGUAUGUUUGAGGCAGGCGGAAUGCGUGGUGUAGCGGUGAAAUGCAUAGAUAUCACGCAGAACCCCGAUUGCGAAGACGCCCGGCCAAGCCAUGACUGACGCUGAUGCACGAAAGCGUGGGGAUCAAACAGGAUUAGAUACCCUGGUAGUCCACGCAGUAAACGAUGAUCACUAGCUGUUUGCGAUACACUGUAAGCGGCACAGCGAAAGCGUUAAGUGAUCCACCUGGGGAGUACGCCGGCAACGGUGAAACUCAAAUGAAUUGACGGGG
rnacentral:rRNA from 1 species